rnacentral:rRNA from 1 species
AUUGAACGCUGGCGGCACGCCUAACACAUGCAAGUCGAGCGGUAGCAGGACCUGUAGCAAUACAGGUUGCUGACGAGCGGCGGACGGGUGAGGAAUACGUAGGAACCUGCCUUAUAGUGGGGGAUAACUAAGGGAAACUUUAGCUAAUACCGCAUAAUCUCGAGAGAGGAAAGCUACCGCAAGGUGGCGCUAAUAGAGGGGCCUGCGUCCGAUUAGCUAGUUGGUGAGGUAAGAGCUCACCAAGGCGAUGAUCGGUAACUGGUCUGAGAGGACGACCAGUCACACUGGGACUGAGAAACGGCCCAGACUCCUACGGGAGGCAGCAGUGGGGAAUAUUGGACAAUGGGGGCAACCCUGAUCCAGCGAUGCCGCGUGAGUGAAGAAGGCCUUCGGGUCGUAAAGCUCUUUAGGUUGGGAAGAAGGGUGUUAGAGGAAAUGCUAAUACUUUGACGGUACCGACAGAAUAAGCACCGGCAAACUCUGUGCCAGCCGCCGCCGUAA